CAGGGCGGGGAACAGGUGGCC
rnacentral:miRNA from 1 species